rnacentral:rRNA from 1 species
GCACAACGCGAAGAACCUUACCUACCCUUGACAUGUCUGGAAUCCCGAAGAGAUUUGGGAGUGCUCGAAAGAGAGCCGUAACACAGGUGCUGCAUGGCUGUCGUCAGCUCGUGUCGUGAGAUGUUGGGUUAAGUCCCGCAACGAGCGCAACCCUUGCCAUUAGUUGCUACGAAAGGGCACUCUAAUGGGACUGCCGGUGACAAACCGGAGGAAGGUGGGGAUGACGUCAAGUCCUCAUGGCCCUUAUAGGUGGGGCUACACACGUCAUACAAUGGCUGGUACAAAGGGUUGCCAACCCGCGAGGGGGAGCUAAUCCCAUAAAGCCAGUCGUAGUCCGGAUCGCAGUCUGCAACUCGACUGCGUGAAGUCGGAAUCGCUAGUAAUCGUGGAUCAGAAUGUCACGGUGAAUACGUUCCCGGGUCUUGUACACACCG